AGUCACUGACAUUAGAUACCCGUGUAGUCCUGGCCGUAAACGAUGUGGACUUGGNUUGGAAUGGCUCCGAGCUGCUCCAGUGCCGAAGGGAAGCUGUUAAGUCCACCGCCUGGGAAGUACGGUCGCAAGACUGAACUUAAGGAAUUGCGGGGAGCACCACAACGCGUGGAGCCUGCGGUUUAAUUGGAUUCAACGCCGGACAUCUCACCAGGGCGACAGCAGAAUGAUGGCCAGGUUGAUGACCUUGCUUGACAAGCUG
rnacentral:rRNA from 1 species